CGUAGGGUGCGAGCGUUAAUCGGAAUUACUGGGCGUAAAGUCGUGCGCAGGCGGUUUUGUAAGACAGAUGUGAAAUCCCCGGGCUCAACCUGGGACCUGCAUUUGUGACUGCAAGGCUAGAGUACGGUAGAGGGGGAUGGAAUUCCGCGUGUAGCAGUGAAAUGCGUAGAUAUGCGGAGGAACACCGAUGGCGAAGGCAAUCCCCUGGACCUGUACUGACGCUCAUGCACGAAAGCGUGGGGAGCAAACAGGAUUAGAUACCCUGGUAGUCCACGCCCUAAACGAUGUCAACUGGUUGUUGGGUCUUUACUGACUCAGUAACGAAGCUAACGCGUGAAGUUGACCGCCUGGGGAGUACGGCCGCAAGGUUG
rnacentral:rRNA from 1 species